rnacentral:rRNA from 1 species
GAUGAACGCUAGCGGGAGGCUUAACACAUGCAAGUCGAGGAGCAUCACGGGGUAGCAAUACUCUGGUGGCGACCGGCGCACGGGUGAGUAACACGUAUGCAACCUGCCUCGUACAGGGGGAUAACCCGGAGAAAUUCGGACUAAUAUCCCAUAAUGAUAUUGAAAGGCAUCUUUUGAUAUUUAAAGCUCAGGCGGUACGGGAUGGGCAUGCGGGACAUUAGCUAGUUGGCAGGGUAACGGCCUACCAAGGCUGCGAUGUUUAGGGGACCUGAGAGGGUUAUCCCCCACACUGGUACUGAGACACGGACCAGACUCCUACGGGAGGCAGCAGUGAGGAAUAUUGGUCAAUGGGCGCAAGCCUGAACCAGCCAUCCCGCGUGAAGGAAGAAGGCGCUAUGCGUUGUAAACUUCUUUUCCAGGGGGAGAAUUUUUCCGUCGUGACGGGAAUUGACGGUACUCUGGGAAUAAGCAUCGGCUAACUCCGUGCCAGCAGCCGCAGUAACAC